rnacentral:rRNA from 1 species
AUGAACGCUAGCUACAGGCUUAACACAUGCAAGUCGAGGGGCAGCAUUUCAGUUUGCUUGCAAACUGGAGAUGGCGACCGGCGCACGGGUGAGUAACACGUAUCCAACCUGCCGAUAACUCGGGGAUAGCCUUUCGAAAGAAAGAUUAAUACCCGAUGGUAUAAUCAGACCGCAUGGUCUUGUUAUUAAAGAAUUUCGGUUAUCGAUGGGGAUGCGUUCCAUUAGGCAGUUGGUGAGGUAACGGCUCACCAAACCUUCGAUGGAUAGGGGUUCUGAGAGGAAGGUCCCCCACAUUGGAACUGAGACACGGUCCAAACUCCUACGGGAGGCAGCAGUGAGGAAUAUUGGUCAAUGGGCGCAGGCCUGAACCAGCCAAGUAGCGUGAAGGAUGACUGCCCUAUGGGUUGUAAACUUCUUUUAUAUGGGAAUAAAGUUUUCCACGUGUGGAAUUUUGUAUGUACCAUAUGAAUAAGGAUCGGCUAACUCCGUGCCAGCAGCCGCGGUAAUACGGAGGAUCCGAGCGUUAUCCGGAUUUAUUGGGUUUAAAGGGAGCGUAGGUGGACAGUUAAGUCAGUUGUGAAAGUUUGCGGCUCAACCGUAAAAUUGCAGUUGAUACUGGCUGUCUUGAGUACAGUAGAGGUGGGCGGAAUUCGUGGUGUAGCGGUGAAAUGCUUAGAUAUCACGAAGAACUCCGAUUGCGAAGGCAGCUCACUGGACUGCAACUGACACUGAUGCUCGAAAGUGUGGGUAUCAAACAGGAUUAGAUACCCUGGUAGUCCACACAGUAAACGAUGAAUACUCGCUGUUUGCGAUAUACAGUAAGCGGCCAAGCGAAAGCAUUAAGUAUUCCACCUGGGGAGUACGCCGGCAACGGUGAAACUCAAAGGAAUUGACGGGGGCCCGCACAAGCGGAGGAACAUGUGGUUUAAUUCGAUGAUACGCGAGGAACCUUACCCGGGCUUAAAUUGCAUUUGAAUAAUCUGGAAACAGGUUAGCCGCAAGGCAAAUGUGAAGGUGCUGCAUGGUUGUCGUCAGCUCGUGUCGUGAGAUGUUGGGUUAAGUCCCGCAACGAGCGCAACCCCUGUGAUUAGUUGCCAACACGUAAAGGUGGGAACUCUAAUCAGACUGCCGGUGAUAAAUCGGAGGAAGGUGGGGACGACGUCAAAUCAUCAUGCCCUUUAUGUCCUGGGCUACACACGUACUACAAUGGCGUUAAACAAAGAGAAGCAAGACCGCGAGGUGGAGCAAAACUCAAAAACAACGUCUCAGUUCAGAUUGCAGGCUGCAACUCGCCUGCAUGAAGUCGGAAUUGCUAGUAAUCGCGGAUCAGCAUGCCGCGGUGAAUACGUUCCCGGGCCUUGUACACACCGCCCGUCACACCAUGAGAGUUUGUAACACCCAAAGUCGGUGGGGUAACCUUUUAGGAGCCAGCCGCCUAAGGUGGGACAGAUGAUUAGGGUG